rnacentral:tRNA from 1 species
GGGGUUGUAGCUUAGUAGUCGAGCACUUGCCUAGCAUGUAUGAGGCACUAGGUUCAAUUCUCAGCACCA